rnacentral:rRNA from 1 species
UACAGAGGGUGCAAACGUUGUUCGGAAUUACUGGGCGUAAAGCGCGUGCAGGCGGCCUUGCAAGUCGAACGUGAAAUCCCACGGCUCAACCGUGGAAGUGCAUUCGAAACUGCGAGGCUGGAGUCCUGGAGAGGAAAGUGGAAUACUCGGUGUAGAGGUGAAAUUCGUAGAUAUCGAGUGGAACACCGGUGGCGAAGGCGGCUUUCUGGACAGGUACUGACGCUGAGACGCGAAAGCGUGGGGAGCAAACAGG